UUGGGAUUAGAUACCCCACUAUGCUCAGCCCUAAACAUUGGNAGCGCAUCACAGCCCGCUACCCGCCUGGGUACUACGAGCACCAGCUUAAAACCCAAAGGACUUGGCGGUGCUUUAGACCCCCCUAGAGGAGCCUGUUGUGUAACCCGAUAACCCCCGUUUAACCUCACCUUUCCUUGUCCCUCCCGCCUAUAUACCGCCGUCGUCAGCUCACCCUGUGAAGGCCUAAUAGUAAGCAAAAUUAGCACAGCCCAGAACGUCAGGUCGAGGUGUAGCGCAUGGAAGGGGAACAAAUGGGCUACACUCACUAUGAUAGUGAAUACGAAUGAUAUCCUGAAACGGACAUCUGAAGGUGGAUUUAGCAGUAAUUACGAAUAGAGAACCCUAUUGAAGCCGGCUCUAAAGCGCGCACACACCG
rnacentral:rRNA from 1 species